AACGAACGCUGGCGGCAUGCCUAACACAUGCAAGUCGAACGAGACCUUCGGGUCUAGUGGCGCACGGGUGCGUAACGCGUGGGAAUCUGCCCUUGGGUUCGGAAUAACAGUUGGAAACGACUGCUAAUACCGGAUGAUGACGUAAGUCCAAAGAUUUAUCGCCCAGGGAUGAGCCCGCGUAGGAUUAGCUAGUUGGUGGGGUAAAGGCCUACCAAGGCGACGAUCCUUAGCUGGGCUGAGAGGAGGAUCAGCCACACUGGGACUGGGACACGGCCCAGACUCCUACGGGAGGCAGCAGUGGGGAAUAUUGGAAAAUGGGCGAAAGCCUGAUCCAGCAAUGCCGCGUGAGUGAUGAAGGCCUUAGGGUUGUAAAGCUCUUUUACCCGGGAUGAUAAUGACAGUACCGGGAGAAUAAGCCCCGGCUAACUCCGUG
rnacentral:rRNA from 1 species